GAUGAACGCUGGCGGCGUGCUUAACACAUGCAAGUCGAACGGUGAACACGGAGCUUGCUCUGUGGGAUCAGUGGCGAACGGGUGAGUAGCACGUGAGCAACCUGCCCCUGACUCUGGGAUAAGCGCUGGAAACGGCGUCUAAUACUGGAUAUGUGACGUGACCGCAUGGUCUGCGUUUGGAAAGAUUUUUCGGUUGGGGAUGGGCUCGCGGCCUAUCAGCUUGUUGGUGAGGUAAUGGCUCACCAAGGCGUCGACGGGUAGCCGGCCUGAGAGGGUGACCGGCCACACUGGGAUUGAGACACGGCCCAGACUCCUACGGGAGGCAGCAGUGGGGAAUAUUGCACAAUGGGCGAAAGCCUGAUGCAGCAACGCCGCGUGAGGGAUGACGGCCUUCGGGUUGUAAACCUUUUUUAGCAGGGAAGAAGCGAAAGUGACGGAACCUGCAGAAAAAGCGCCGGCUAACUACGUG
rnacentral:rRNA from 1 species